AAGUACACACUAAUACAUGACUAAUUUGUGGAAUUUUGAUGUUACCCAUGCUCAUGCUGUAGUUGUUGAGAAACUAAUCUUAUCAUAUAACAUCAUCUUAGCAUACAACCUGCAUGUUGCCUAUUUUGUUCACCAUGAAAGGUAAAUCAAAAUUCUACACUGAACCUUUUGCAACCUCCAUGAUGAAAGAAAACCAGCCAAGAGGCAUCGGACCAGCCAUGCUCAGUUAGGUUUAGACUUGGUUCAGCAUCUGCAUCAUUAAAGCGACAAGAUUAGAGAUUUGCAAUACUAGGUAAACUAAUUCAAUCUUAUUACCAUAUAUUCAUCAUUGCUUCAUUCUUUAAAAUGAGCUACGCACAUUCAAUUAUUUCCCUGCCAGAGUGUGAUAGGGAUGUAUUUUAGAAAAUAAUACAUAAUGCUCGACUUUUUCCACUAUCUAUGUGAUACUAUUAGACUUAUCAAAAGAUAGAAUCCUUUAAAUCCUCCACCAUAAGAAGGAAAAACAGUAUAAGUUCCUCUUUAUCUCAGACAUCUGGGAUCUACAUUAAUUGGUUUAGUUCUGAGGUUGACCUAACUUUCCAGGCUCAUAAUAAUGUGGUGUCUCAUGUUCUAAAUCUUCUUUAGGUAUACCAUGGUAUAAUGCCUUGCUCGAGCAUUCACAAAAUUAUGUUAGUACAAUGGAUUACUGAUAGUGAAGUACUUCCUUCAGUGUACAGGCUUAUCUUGGAUUAAUUUGAAAAAAUAAGCCAUUAUAAUUAUCAUCUUCUUAUAUGUACAUCUGGCAUUGUUGGUGAAGCUACCGAGUUGAGGAACUCUGGCAGACUUCUUGCAGGUAUGCAAGGAGCAAGAACAGGGUAGCUUUUUGUUUCUCAGGAUUUUUAUGUUAUCUUGCAAUUUGUGACUUGGUGUCUAAUGAGCAAGCGCAUCCUAGGUUUUCAUUUGGGGAUUUUGAUUAUGUGUGUUAUUUGAUUUCAGACAUGUCCAGGUAUAGAGUAUUACUAGGAUGGGUAGGAUAUGUAGGUGAUAUGCAAUCCAAAUAGUGGAUACAAUUCACCAUAUAUGUGGAUGUACGGCCGCACAGAAAAAUUGAGCACCUCUUCUAAUUUUCUUGGAAAGUAGAUAAGUCAUUUUGGAGCAUUACAUGGUUUGCCAGUCUACUUCGCUAUGUUUCUUAGAAGGAAAAACUAGGUGUUUGUUUACAUGGAUCUGUUCUUUCUGUUUUAUGAUCACACUCCAAUACAAUAUGUGCAUAUUAGAAACCAAAAUUAUACUCUGUUGUCAUUCAUUUUUCUUCAUAGUGUUACUUGCAGAUAUGGAGUCUAUACGCAUUCAAGAGGUAAGAAGGUUGUACAUUAGCAGUAUUUAAUUGAAGCAACAUGGGAGAUAAAAAAUGAUGCUCAUGUUUAUCUCUUGGUAAAGACUAGCAACAAAGUUUUUCACCUCCUUUACACCAUUUGAUUUUGUAGGAGGCCUCUCCAACGCCAACUUAGCAGGAAAACUAGCUCUGUAUCUUUUAAUUUUCAGCUUCCAAUACUUUUGAAUCAAAUAUAUAUAUAUAUAUAUAUAUAUAUAUAUAUAUAUAUAUAUAUGUAUAUAUUUUUUCUAUGAUAAUACCCUGUCCUAAUCAUUCAUGUUCGUUCAUAAAUUUAAUGUUGAGUUCUUCCAUUUAUUUUAUGUCUCAAUGUAAAAUGGCCCCAACCAAUGUUGUGCAGAAUCGAGAGCAGGCGGUAUACGUAAUGUUUAUUCAGUUACUUAAUGGUCUCUAAGGCUUUUGGAAUCGUGCUGGUGUGGGAGAAUAGAUCAAUAGUUUACCUUUCUCUAUUUCAGAGAGGCUUAGUUAUGUCAGCCAGUUUCCUAUCCAUGCACCUCUCUUCAGAAGAAGUUUCCUGUCCGUGUGGGUUAGUAUUUGACGAGUUACUAGGAGCAUUCAAAAACAAGAGUCAAGGUCAGCCGCUAAAACAUGUGGGGCUAGAUUCACCAAAGCAGGAGUUCACACAUGGCCAACGCUAUGUAGCGGUAUCAAGAGUAACAAGUAGGGAUGGCCUUAGAAGUUCUAAUUUCAUAUGAAGAAUCUAAGGAAAAUAAAUCAGCAAAAAAACCGUGUACAAGGAGAUCCGUUAGUGCAAGAGACCUUAGAAUAUUUCUAUUUUACUCUAUGUAAUGUUCUUAAGGAGGAAUUUCCUACGGUUUUCCAAUGAAUAAGAUAUCUCUGCGGACACACAUGGCUAUGUUUGCAAAUUUGAUCUUGCACUAAAACAAUCUAUAGUCUAUGCAUUGCAUAAUCAGCAUUAAAAAAAAAUUAAGAACUAGAUGAAUCAUGAACGUGUACCUUCAGUUUACUAAGUAUUUGCAAAUUACAUCACACGACUCAUGAUCUAAUCUGUCUCAUAGCUAUGACCUGACCACAAUAUAUCUGUACGUACAUCUGUCAAUACCAAAUCACAGAUCCGUCAACAUCUCUUCCUUGGGCACGGUCGAGCACGAAGUGGCAAGAUUUUUGUUUUUCUAUCUGAAUAUACUUGGAUGAUUUCAUCAAUGAUGAUUCAGUUGGUACAGCCGACCAAUCAAAGGCUAGAUUUGAUUAUUAUUUUGCUAAUAUGCUAAGAUCAAUUCUGUCAACGGCAACCAAUGUGGUGUGAUUACUCAUGGAGCGGUUGGAUCUUCUUCAUAUUCCCACUUUAUAUGGCUAAAUGGUGAUGAAUGCGGUAUGUUCUACAGGUAUGAUAGCGACCACAUAUUACAGGUUUGAUCCUACCAAUUCAGACAAUUUAGCUCGGGCAACAACAUGCAUAAUAAGCUGACGCAUGUGACCUACCGAUUCUGCUCAGGCAAUCUCCUUGACGACUCCUCCACCACCCAUCUCUACACGACACCUAAAUCACCUCACCGCACAUCUGCAUACAGACCCAAAAGGGAAAUAAGGCAUCCCCUCAAAGCAAGUUCCCAAUUCUUAAGAUAAUACAUAGUACAGAAAAUCAAAUGAUUUAACCACACCUGAUGUAUCCCAUAGUGGUUGCUUCUCUCUCACUUCCAGGUUGUUUAGAAUGGUCAGAUUUAGUACUGACAAAUUGAAGGACUAGAAGGUAUACAAUCAAAAGGGGGAACAGAAUGUAUGGCCAGUGGCUGGAUCGGGGAUUUCAUUUUUGCGGAUCAGCGAGUGAAGAGAGGGAGACGCGACGGCGCAGCGCGUGGGAUUGGAACUAGCGGCGACUCAGCGUCGAAUCCUGGCGGAUUCUUGGAUCAAUAUUCGCCAUGGAUGAGAGGAUGCCCAGUUUUGCUAGACGAGGGAAGAAACGGCAGGAGGAAGUAGGAGCAUCUCUAGCAGACCCGUAGAUGGUCAAACCCUUAUAAUUUUGGGUUUUAUAGUUUUGGUCGAAAAAAUGUCCAGAACAGAAACCGUAAAAAUGCUUCAACCUGUAAAAUUUUAAGGUCCAUUGAAAAUGCAUACCCG
rnacentral:lncRNA from 1 species